rnacentral:rRNA from 1 species
CAGUAGCCACGGUAAUACGAGGGGGGCAAGCGUUGUUCGGAAUUAUUGGGCGUAAAGGGUGCGUAGGCGGUUUGACAAGUCUUAUGUGAAAUCUCUGGGCUCAACCCAGAGUCUGCAUGGGAAACUGUCGGGCUUGAGUAUGGGAGAGGUGAGUGGAAUUUCCGGUGUAGCGGUGAAAUGCGUAGAUAUCGGAAGGAACACCUGUGGCGAAAGCGGCUCACUGGACCAUAACUGACGCUGAUGCACGAAAGCUAGGGGAGCAAAUGGGAUUAGAUACCCCUGUAGUCCCUGUCUCUUAUAC